AUGGAUGCUAAUCAGGCCGCCAAGGAUGCGGCUAAGAUUGCUGAUGAGGCUGCUGAUCGUGCCUAUGAUGAGAGGGUUUUGGCUUAUGAGGAGGCCCUUCAGACGUAUCAUGGUGCUUUGUCUGUUUACACCCAGUGGCUUGAUGAUGAUGCUCGUGCUGUAGCUGUUCUCACUGCUAUUGUUCUGCCUCAGUUUGCUUCUGAGUUUCUGGGUCUUCCUACUGUCUUCCAAAUAUGGACCUGUCUUCGUCAGCGCUAUGAGCCCUCUGGUGAUUCCUUAUACCUUUCUGUGGUUCGUCAGGAGCAUGCUCUUCAGCAGGGUGACUCUACUGUUGAUGAAUUUUAUGCACAGAGUUCUGCUAUCUGGCGCCAGCUUGAUUCUCUCCGCAGUGCUGGUUGUCGUACUUGCCCCUACUGCCAGGCUGUCCAGGCCGAUUUGGAGUUUCAUCGCGUCUACGAGUUCCUGUCUCGGCUCCGUAAGGAGUUUGAGCCCCGGCGUGCUCAGUUGUUUGCUCGUGGCCGUAUUUCUCUCAUGGAGGCGCUUUCAGAGAUUCGUGCUGAGGAGACUCGCCUACGUGGUGCUGGUUUGCUGGAGGUUCCCUCUGUGCUCGCUACUCGGGCUUCUUCCACUCCACCUGCUGCACCGCCCUAUUCUCGCUCGAGUGCUCCGCCGCUCUUGCCCACUCCUUCUGGAGGCUCAGGUCGCCCUCGUCCACACUGUGACUACUGCAACAAUGAUGGUCAUAUUGAGUUCCAGUGCUACACAAAGCGGAAACACCUGCGCAAGGCGCGAUCAUCCUCCUCAGGGACUUCGUCA
rnacentral:rRNA from 1 species